AGCGAACACUGGCGGCAGGCCUAACACAUGCAAGUCGAACGAACUCUUCGGAGUUAGUGGCGGACGGGUGAGUAACACGUGGGAACGUGCCUUUAGGUUCGGAAUAACUCAGGGAAACUUGUGCUAAUACCGAAUGUGCCCUUCGGGGGAAAGAUUUAUCGCCUUUAGAGCGGCCCGCGUCUGAUUAGCUAGUUGGUGAGGUAAAGGCUCACCAAGGCGACGAUCAGUAGCUGGUCUGAGAGGAUGAUCAGCCACAUUGGGACUGAGACACGGCCCAAACUCCUACGAGAGGCAGCAGUGGGGAAUCUUGCGCAAUGGGCGAAAGCCUAACGCAGCCAUGCCGCGUGAAUGAUGAAGGUCUUAGGAUUGUAAAAUUCUUUCACCGGGGACGAUAAUAACGGUACCCGGAGAAGAAGCCCCGGCUAACUUCGUGCCAGCCGCCGCGGUAA
rnacentral:rRNA from 1 species